AAAGAUGGCACGGGGUGCCGGUUUACCGGCUGAGAAAUACUCGUUGAACUUGAACUGGAUAAUACCAGCGUAAGGAUGCCUUCAAAAAGUCUA
rnacentral:ncRNA from 1 species